CUUCCGGUAAGUCGUAUUUGUUGAUGCAUACGCCAUUCGGUUCAAAACAUAAGACAUACAAUCGUAGUUUCAGUUUUACCUUAAAAUGUAACAGUUGCUUUUCUGUAAUAAUAAUAAUCCUCUAUACUACGUAUGCGGUCGCCAAAUACGACUUCCGAAAGACGCACCCCAAAUCCUGGCCAGGACGCGUCCAGGAAGAAUGGCACGUAUGGUCACCCUAGUCAAUGGUGUUUCUGUAUCUAAACUGGUAAAGCAUUGGUUGUGGGUUCGAUUUCCAGAGAAAAUAAAAUGUACUGUAUACACCGCAAGUCACUUUGGAUAAAAGCGUCUGGCAAAUGCAUGACUGUAAGAUGAUCUUCAUCAUGCUUCAUUGCAUUUAGUUAAAAAACGGAAAUGGACACUGUUACACAUUUUCACGAGCUAUGUAACAUUAACAGAGAAAAAUAUACAAAUACAGAGUGAGCCUACAUGAUCAUGUCCCUAAAAGGGCAAAAUCAUUCAUUUGCCAGUUAAAAGAGACACGGGUACAAGAGUAAACAUGCCAGCUUUGGUUUAUGAACUUUAUAUGUGAGCAGAGAUUAACUAUUAAUCACACGAUUUAAAUAGUGUGUCGUUCCUGUCUGUUAAACUUAGCAGCGUGCAGAUGCAUAUCUGCUAAAAAGACAGUGUUUUUAAAACAUUCAGAUGUACAUUAACAUGAUGCCACCCCAUGUGAGGAACCGGCAAAAUUCCUGGAGCAGAUCAGUUAAAGAUCAAGAUCUACAACUUAUCGUAUAAACAAUAAGUAAUGCAUAUAGGGUCAUAUCUCAAACAGUAUUGCAUAGUAACAUGACAGGGAUUUUCUGACCCUUCUCUACAAAAAGAGUUUACAGUUAUAUCAUGUGAAUCUGGAAAAACAUUAAUCGUUUACAGGAAAACAGGGUACUUCCCUUAAAGAGAAAGUGAUAGUAAACCCAAUGUUUCUUUUAGUUGAAUGCAGUCAUUGUAGCUUUCGCCCACGUAAUCCAGCAAUGCAUUUUACCGUUUUGUGAAAGACAGACUUGGAUCAUUUCUGGUAAAAAGGCUUUAUAGGUAACAAAACAAAUAACGUCCUAAUGUCUGUAUAACAAAGUCCAGAUGCACUGUAUGAACAAGACUGUAUGCAAUGUAUAACAUGGGUGGACAACACUGAGAAGAUUUGUUAUAAACAACCCAACUAAUCUGGGCAAGUGGCGUCACAGUUACGACAGAUUGUUUGGGAUAAGCUGCUGUCCGCAAUUCGUUUGUCACAGGCUGACGCCUCCGCACACCCCCAGAUAAGAUGGGAUAACUAUAUACAGUUGACAUCCAAGGAUCUGAGAUCUAAAAUUGAACGGGCGGAAACAUCUCAGUCCAGGAAGAGCGUGAGACGUUAUAAUGGAUGUCUUAAUUUAUCCGAAACUGACAACACAACACUAACAUUUAAAAGAAGUGUGAACAGCUCUUCACAGGGACAUUUCAAGGCCUGUUUGUGCUAUUUAAUGGAUACAGUAGUAAUUCAGGUCACUGUUCAAUGCAUUGUAAGAGUUUCCUAAAUGGUGUGGUCACAUCGUGAAAUAAUUUUUUCACAUUUUCCUUUAAUGUUUAUGGUAGUGUAGUCUAGGGAACGGUUUCCAUGGUAAUACACAGUUAGUGUAUACAGAGACGGGGGGAAGUGAUGGCAGGAAGUGGCUGACCGUGAUGACGCACUUAGUGCUCUCUUUCAAGGGGAUGGGCAUGUAAAUGUGAAACGUUUGUGCCAUGUGCUUUUUUAGUGUCAUGAAAAAUUCUGCUGGUGCAUAGUGCAACCGUUAAAAUGUGUAAACUAUGAAUGAAACCGUGCGCAUGCUUUCUUUUCCUAAACAUUUCUUUUUCCUAAACUGUAUGGAUUAGAUUUUGAUGGAUGGGUGCACUUUUUGGGUUACUAUCCAGUGCCAAUAUAAAGCUUAAAAAAAUGAUAUAACUUAAUAUAACUCAAUUGUGUUUGGUUGAAAGCAGUACAGUGUACUUCAUACACAUUUCAGUGCCAAUGAGGGCACUCGAAUUAAAGGUAUUUCCCCUUUUGUCAAUAUUUUCUAAAAGUCGUCUCCGCCCACUGUCAAAACCACACGUUUAGGCGCUUUGCAUCAGCCUUUACUACUGCAGUCAUCGACUACUAUGGCAACACGAGUCACAGAAAGAUUAUUGGCGGCCCAAGAUGUCAUACCACCGUUCCCCACGCCCACAUUACCACCGAAGAGUAAAAUUAACACAUUAUGUCAUGCUUUUCUAUGAGAUAUUUGAGAGAUUGCCGCCUAAUGUGUUUGCAGUGGGAUGCUGGUACAGCAAAUUCAUUCAUUUUCCUUCACUGCAGCCAGUCACAAUGGGCCUUUUAAUGGUCUUCCUGGGCAGGGCUUCCAGAGAGCUGGCAAAACAAACAGUCCAAGAAAAGAGAUUUACGCUGGAGACGAUAACUCACGUCAUCGUUUACUUUGGGGGACAUAUGGCAAGGAAGACAUUGCAUUUUAGUUCAGAGACCAAGUCUUGGCAAAUAAAAGGGAACCAUUUGAGUUAUCUUUGGCCCGCCUUCACGCCAGAUGCAAGUUCGGAGUACGGUCACUGGCAAGACUGUACUGUAACAACUGCCAAUGUCAUUAUGCAAACUGAACUUAAUAUGCAUUAUUAUUGAAACAGUUAUAAAAGCAAUAUUGCUUGGAUAUGGGUGUGAUAUGGCUUUAUAUAAGCAUGGCCGUGAUUGUAUACACUGCGUUUAAACAACAGUUCGAGAACACAACAGUUAGACGGUGUGCAGAUAAAUAAAAAACAACUGUGUGAGUGUCUUCUUUCAUCAAAGAAAGAACUGUUCACUGUAAAAAAGUAGUUUCAACUUAAAAAAGUAAGUUCCUAUAACUAUAAGUCGCUCCAGAGUAUAAGUCGCAUCAGUCAAAAAUGCGUUUUGAAGAGGAAAAAAACAUGUAUAAGUCGCACUGGACUAUACAUCACGUUUAUUUAAUGAUUUCACAAAAUCCAAACCGAAGAACAGACAUUUAUUUCGGAAAGGCAAGUUAUUCAACUAAACAAUAGCACAGAACAGCAGGCUGAAUAGGUGUCCGUACAUGUUAAGUGACAUAAACAGUUAUUUACACAAUACACAA